rnacentral:rRNA from 1 species
GAGUUUGAUCCUGGCUCAGAGCGAACGUUGGCAGUGUGUCUUAAGCAUGCAAGUCGAACGGCAGCAGGCCAUGUAGCAAUAUAUGGUGCUGGCGAGUGGCGAACUGGUGAGUAACACGUAAGAAUCUGCCCUAAGGUGGGGGAUAACUCAUGGAAACAUGAGCUGAUACCGCAUAAUGCGAAGCUUAUAGAGAUAUAAGUUUUGUUAAAGGAGAAAUCCGCCAUAGGAUGAGCUUGCGUCCCAUUAGCUAGUUGGCGGGGUAAAUGCCCACCAAGGCUAUGAUGGGUAGCUGGCCUGAGAGGGUGGUCAACCACACUGGGACUGAGAUACGGCCCAGACUCCUACGGGAGGCAGCAGCUAAGAAUCUUCCUCAAUGGGGGAAACCCUGAAGGAGCGACACUGCGUGCAGGAUGAAGGCCCUUUGGGUUGUAAACUGCUUUUGCAGGGGAGAAAUAACCGAAUGGGAUGAUAGUACUCUGCGAAUAAGUCCCGGCUAACUACGUGCCAGCAGCCGCGGUAAUACGUAAGGGGCGAACGUUGCUCGGAAUCACUGGGCGUAAAGGGCCGGUAGGUGGCUUUAUAAGUCGGUUGUCAAAUACCUAUGCUCAACGUGGGAGAGGCGACCGAUACUGUAGAGCUUGAGUAGAGGAUGGGAUGAUGGAAUACCCGGUGUAGGGGUGAAAUCUGUUGAUAUCGGGUAGAACACCGAUGGCGAAAGCGAUCAUCUAGCCUCAUACUGACACUCAACGGCGAAAGCCAGGGGAGCGAACGGGAUUAGAUACCCCGGUAGUCCUGGCCAUAAACGAUGCAUGCUANGUAUUGGCACCGCGUUGGUGCUGGUACCGCAGCUAACGCGUUAAGCAUGCCGCCUGGGGGAGUAUGCUCGCAAGAGUGAAACUCAAAGGAAUUGAC